rnacentral:rRNA from 1 species
GCCGGAGAUCACUGUUAUCAGGUUUCGACUUNNCCAUGCGAGGCGAGAGGGUUAGACCCUCGCCGAACUGCUCAGUAACACGUAGCUAACUUAAUCUUAGGUGGGGGAUAAACUUGCGAAAGUGAGGCUAAUACCCCAUAGUUGUUAGAUGCUGGAAUGCGCUAACAAUCANAGCUCCGGCGCCUAAGAAUAGGGCUGCGGCGUAUCAGGCGGUUGUGAGUUUAAAAUACUCACAAACCUAUAACGCGUAGGGGCCAUGAGAGUGGGAGCCCCGAGAUGCCUUCUGAGACAUGAAGGCAGGUCCUACGGGACGCAGCAGGCGCGAAAACUUUCCAAUUCAUUAACGUGUGAGAAGGGAAGCCUGAGUGCUUAUGCAAUGCNUAAGCUUUUCUUUAGCCUANNAAGCUAGAGGAAUAAGUGGUGGGUAAGACAGGUGCCAGCCGCCGCGGUAAUACCUGCGCCACAAAUAGUGAUCACGAUUAUUGGGUCUAAAGCGUCCG